AUGGCUAUCUCAAAGUCCAAGGGAGGAUUAGGAUUCUGGGACUUGGAAAUUUUCAAUGACGCAAUGCUCGCAAAACAGGCGUGGCGGCUGUUGGACAAGCCAGACAGUCUAUGCGCACGUGUUUUAAAGGGACGGUACUACCCCGAUGGAGAUUUUUUGCAGGCAGGAUGCCCUGCUAGCGCCUCCGCUACAUGGAAAGCGAUAAUCACUGGUAGAGAGGUGCUUAAGAAGGGUUUAAUUCGCAGAGUUGGUGACGGAAUGUCUACAUAG
rnacentral:rRNA from 1 species